CCCUCUAUAUAUAGGACAUACAUACACAGUGCAAAAAAAAAUCAAAAUCCCUCUCUCUCUCUCUCUCUCUCAUCUGAGACCCAAACAUCGGUUUCGUCUUCCUCUUCCCUCUAUCUCUCUCUCACUUGAGCUAUGGUUUGUCGAUCGGUGGUGGUUCUCUCUCACCGACCUCGCUGCCAUCGUUUCUAUUCUCUCUCCUCUCCGAUAGCACCGCCACGAUAGUUGUUCGCCCACCACCAUCUCCUGCUCUCACCGACGUCACCGCCGACUGACCACCACUCAUCCGUUACCUCUCUCUCUUCUAAACACCCCCCGCAACAUCUAUUGCCAUCGCCAUCGUCAACAUCCAUAUGCUCGCUCUUCAUCACUCUACUUCUAUUUUUCCUCCUCGUGACGUUUUUCAGUGGAAUCGUCGUCGGUAGUGGCGAGAAUAGCAAUCACCGUUGACUCUCCGUCACCGUAGUCUCCAUGAUAUCCACAAAAUCUAUAUUGUUUCGAUUUGAGAAAUGAUUCGAUUUCAACGAAGUAGACGUUCAAAUCUACGACCGCCUCUACCACAUCGCCUUCGCAAAGUCCAGAUUUACAACUGCCGCAGUUCCAGUGUUUCUUGCGACUCUUCAAGGGAUCACGAUCUCAGCUCAAUCGUUCACAACACCAUAGACAGGGGAAUUUUUAGCACAACAAUGAUGGAGAUGAUUGGAGGGUAGAUUAGUGGGUUGAAGUUACCUCUUUCUUGGGAGCCAAGAGCUUUAGUAUCGAUCUUGGUCACCGUAGAGAGAGAGAGAGAGAGAGAGAGAGAGUCAAAAAAUGGAUUCUGGAGUUUUCUUUUUGUUGAACAGAUCUAGUUUGUGUGUGUGUGUGUGUGUGUGUUCAACAGCUUCAACCGUGUCCAUACUGAAGAUCCUCGUCAUCCCCAAACCCGAUCUGUGUUAGAUCUAUUUGUUUGUUUUUUUAAUUAUUUUUUUCGAUUUGAAAUCAGAUCUGUUCAAUUUUUUGAACAGGUAGUAGGUGUGAAUUUGAACAGACAGGGCCGGUCCUGAGAUUUAGAGGGUUUAAGGCGACACUUCAGAAUUUUAUAUUGAAAAAAAAUUUUUUUAUAGAAAAAACGUUAAGUUACAAUUUUUUUAUUUGUUUGUAACUAUAAAAAAAAUUUACUUGCAUAUAUAAUUAUUAAAAUUAUAAAUAAAAAAUUUUCAUAUAUUAAGAUAGGAAGCAAUCAUUACAAAUGCUUAAAAAAAUAAAAAUUUAGUCUUGUAUUUUUUUAGGCCUCAUGUUCAAUUGGGUCUAUAAUAUUUAGGUCUUUAUAUAUAUAUAUAUAUAUAUCUAAAACACAAAAUUAUAUUUGGGGACCCCUAUUUUUAGCCCAAAUUUGGGGGCCCAAGGCGCAGGCCUCUCUUGCUUACCCUCAGGGCCGGCCCUAACUAACAGAGGGAGGUUUUCCGGAGAGGAAAGAUCGACUAGAGUUGUUGAAUUUUAACAGAUAGAUAGUAGAAAGAGAGAGGUUUUUAACAGAUAGAUUUGUUGUUGUUAGAUUUUUAACAAAUAGAUAUUAUUUUGUUGU